UAACCGUUAGUUUAUUUGAGAUUGAAUCUCGACCCUCGAAGGUCAUGGCUGAAGGACUAUUAAUAAAGUCCCAUUCGCAGCCUUGUAGUCACGUUUUUAACCUAGAUCAAUAAAGUUGCAUUUUCUUCUCUUGCGCCGUUUGCGAGUUGAGAGUUCUUACACGAGUAUUCUUGAGUGGUUUCCCCUUGAAUCAAUCCGUGUGAGCUUGUUACUUGGUUGAUCGAACCCCCUUGCUUCCCCUAAGCUAUCUUGUUCCAUUGAGUUUCAUCUUGUUUGCGGUUUUAUCGAGAGAGAGCGAAGGCCAACUCGAUCGACCCUAGUUCGUGCGUACGUGUGACCCUUGGAGCGUAUAUCA
rnacentral:lncRNA from 1 species